rnacentral:rRNA from 1 species
UACAGAGGGUGCAAGCGUUGUUCGGAAUUACUGGGCGUAAAGAGCUCGUAGGUGGUUUGUCGCGUUGUUCGUGAAAACUCACAGCUCAACUGUGGGCGUGCGGGCGAUACGGGCAGACUAGAGUACUGCAGGGGAGACUGGAAUUCCUGGUGUAGCGGUGAAAUGCGCAGAUAUUCGGAAGAACACCGGUGGCGAAGGCGACCUUCUGGGCCGCAACUGACGCUGAGGCACGAAAGCCUGGGGAGCGAACGGG